UACGUAGGGAGCGAGCGUUGUCCGGAUUCAUUGGGCGUAAAGAGCUCGUAGGCGGCUUGGUAAGUCGGAUGUGAAACCUCCAGGCCCAACCUGGAGUCGCCAUCCGAUACUGCCAUGGCUAGAGUCCGGUAGGGGCCCACGGAAUUCCUGGUGUAGCGGUGAAAUGCGCAGAUAUCAGGAGGAACACCGGUGGCGAAGGCGGUGGGCUGGGCCGGCACUGACGCUGAGGAGCGAAAGCGUGGGGAGCGAACAGG
rnacentral:rRNA from 1 species